GUGGGGAAUCUUCCGCAAUGGACGAAAGUCUGACGGAGCAACGCCGCGUGAGUGAUGAAGGUCUUCGGAUUGUAAAGCUCUGUUAAUCGGGACGAAAGAGCCUAGUGUGAAUAAUGCUAGGAAGUGACGGUACCGGAAUAGAAAGCCACGGCUAACUACGUGCCAGCAGCCGCGGUAAUACGUAGGUGGCAAGCGUUGUCCGGAAUUAUUGGGCGUAAAGCGCGCGCAGGCGGAUCUGCCAGUCUGUCUUAAAAGUUCGGGGCUUAACCCCGUGAUGGGAUGGAAACUACAGAUCUAGAGUAUCGGAGAGGAAAGUGGAAUUCCUAGUGUAGCGGUGAAAUGCGUAGAUAUUAGGAAGAACACCAGUGGCGAAGGCGACUUUCUGGACGAAAACUGACGCUGAGGCGCGAAAGCCAGGGGAGCGAACGGGAUUAGAAACCUUGUAGUCC
rnacentral:rRNA from 1 species